AGGAAGACCUUUCUCUCUCUGUCUCUCUCUCUCACUGUCCACUCUGCCUGUAAAAAAAAAAAAAAAAAAAAAGAUGUUAAAUAGGAGUGGUGAGAGGGGACAUCCUUGCCUUGUCCUCGUUUCUCACUAUUAAGUAUGGUACUUGUUGUAGGGUUUUUGUAGAUACUCUUUAUCAAGUUUAGGAAAUUCUCUGUCCAUUCCUAGUUUUUCUUUUUUUUAAAUAGAGGAACAAUAUUAAAGGUUGAUUUAUUUGAAGGGCAGAAAUAUGUAUAUAUAUAGAGAGAGACAGAGAGAUCUCCCAUCCAUCUGCUUUUUCACUUCCCACAUAGCCACAAUGGCCGGAGCUGGGCUGAUCAGAAGUCAGGAGCCAGAGCUUCCUCUGGAUCUCCUAUGUGGGUGCAGGAGCCCAAGCACUUGGAUCAUCAUCUGCUGCCUUCUCAGGCCAUUAGAGGGAGCUGGAUUGGAAGUGGAACAGCCAGGACUUGAACUGGCACACAUGCACUGUCCCACAUUUCUAGUUUUCUGAGGAUUUUUAAAAUAAAUCAGUGUUGGAUUUUGUCAUUCUUUUUCUGCAUUUGUUGACUUGAUCACAUGAUUUUUUUUUUCUUUACCCUGUCACAUUAAUUGAUUUUCAAAUGUUGAGCCAGUUUAGUAUGGCAUAAAUCCCACUUGGUUAUGAUCUAUAAUGCAUUUUACACAUUGUUGGAUUUGAUUUGGGAAUAAUAUGUUGAGAGUUUUUACAUUUAUAUUCAUGAGAGGAGCUGGUCGGUAGUUUUCAUUCUUGUAAUGUCUGCGUGUGGUUUUGGUUAUAGGAUAACGCUGGCCUCUUGAAAGCAUUCGCUCUGCCUCUGCCUUCUGGUCGAGACUGUGCUAAUCGGUAUCACUCACUGCAAAGUGAAGUCACAAGUGAAAUCAUCUUGAUGUCUCAUUUUCUUUCUUGAAAGUUUAGUAAUUGUUAUUUCAAUUUCUUCUUUUUCUUCUGUUUUUAAAAUAGUUAUUUAUUUGAAAGUCAGGGUUAUAUAUAGAGAGAGUAACAGAGAGAGAGAGAGACAGACAGACAGACAGAUAGAUCUUCCAUCUGCUGGUUCACUUCUCAAAUGGCUGCCUCAGCCAGGCUGGGCCAGGCAUAGCCAGGGGCCCAGAACUCCAUCUGGGUCUCCCAUGUGGGUGUUAGGGACCUAACCACUCUAUCAUUUGCUGCCUCCUGGGUGUACAUUAGCAGAAAGUGGAUCAGAAGCAAAGGAGUCAGGACUUGAACCAGGCACUGAGAUACGGGAUAAAGUUGCCCCUAGCAGCAACUUAACCAUGGCACCGAAUGCCCACCCCAAAUCACUACUUUGAAACUGGAGCCCUGUUGGUGUCAUGAUGAAGGUUGGUGUGGGCAAGUCUUCUAUAGCUUCAUGAUUUAAUCUCCAUUUUUUGUUUGUUUUCUAAGUGGGCCAGAGUCCUUGAGUUGUAAUCUUCGAAAGAAUUUCAUAGCCUAUUUUUUCCUUCCCUAUGUGAGACAGGGAAGUUAACGGAGGCUGUAAUUGUCCAGUUGUCCCUCCCCUAUCUCAGAUAAGGUUCUGGUAAUGUAGCUUCCUUAGAGAACAGAGCACAGCGUGCUCUGGGCUUAUUUCCAAAGGGUUCCUUUUCCCCUCCUCUUGUCCGAAGUGGGACACUAAGUGGGACUCCUGGAGGUAAAACUCACGAAAGUGCGAGCUGUUCCCUUCCCCGAGAACUGGCCCUGGAAUUAAACUCUCAGGGUGGUCCCCAUCCACCCUCCAGAACUGCUGAUUGUGGCUGGCGCUCUGCACCUGGGCUCUGCCUCCCUGGGGACGGCGGCACUGUGAGAGAGUUCCUGCGAAUUCUGUCCCCAGCCGCUUGGCCCCGGUAAGCUGUGAUCAGGUGUAUGUAUUCUCCUGUCUCUCAUUUUCAAGGCUGCAGCUUCCCCAGUGAGCUCAACUCUAUAAAGAAUCCAGGAAGAGUUGAUGAUUUUCCAGAUUGCCCAGAUUUUUUUCCUGUCCUGAGGAUGAAGUGAUGACUUCCAAGCUGUUCAGAUGUAAGAGCAGAAGCUGGAAGUCACCCUGCAGUGAGAUGUCCAUCAGUCUACGACAGAAUAAAGAGCCAGUGCCAACAGGUUAUAGGAAGCUAACCACCGGGUUUUCACUCAAUAGAUGCUUGACUCACCGCUGGGCUGGAAGUCCCUUGAAAGUAGAGAUGCUUUUAGUGCUUACUUACCAAAUGAAUGAAAUCUAGGAAGGAAACGUCUGCCCUUCUAGAAAACUGCUAGCUGUAAGUAUCAUCCCCAAGAUUCCAGCGCUGUCCCUGCAGCCGGUGAGGACGACGAUCUGUGAUGUCUUGGGAAUUUCAGGGGAAGUCUGAAUGGGGCUCACUGCAAGUCAGGCUCCAGCUGAAGGACCGACGCAGCCUGCUGCUUUUGCCAACAACAAGCCCCAAGCCCGUGAGGCCAAGCUGGCUCAGAAGUUAUUGUCGUUAUGUACAGCAGGCCAGGUGAUUACUUGGAAUCAAUAAUAAUUAUUACUUUUAACAAAUUACUGGGGCAGGUGGUUGGCAGAAGAGUUGAGAUGCCGCUGUCCCAUGUUCUGAUCCCAGUUCCGGCUCCCAGUAACACCUCCUUGGCAAUGCAGACCCUGAGAGGCAGAAGGUGACGAUGACCCUGCCACCCACUUGGGAAACCUGGAUGCAGUUCCUGACUCCUGGCUUCAGCCCAGCCCAGUCCUGGCCACUUCAGACAUCCGAGCAGUGACCCAGAAGACGGAAGUGCUUUCUCUCUUUCUCUCUCUUCUCAAUCUGCCUUUUGAAUACACAAAUCACCAUAUUUCAAAGAUUCCAAGAUGUGCAUAUGCUCAUAACAUCUCUGAAAUCAUAAUGUGUUUUUACCAUUAAUGGCAAGCCAUGGUUUGAGUGGGAGCAUCCUCUCUCCAACCCACAUCUUUAGGACAACAUCUUUUAAAGUAACAUCUUCUAAAAUCAAGGACAUCUUAGAAUAAUGAAAUAUAGUAAAUUCUUGUUUUUAUCAAGAUAACACACAUACAUGGUUUCGGAAGCCAGGCAACUUUGUUUUUAAUAUGGGAAAAAGGCAUCCUCUAUCCUGUCAUCCGUUUGAAAACUUCUCCCUAGGGACCAUUAUUUUCAGUUCAUUUAGCUGUUACUUCUGCUGUUUGCUUCCAUAUUUCUAAAUAACAUGACUAAACAACUACUUUUUGAAAAAGGUCCUUCUCAGUUUUGAAGAAGUUUUUAUUGACUUCCUCCUAUGGACUAGGAAGUUUCUCUCUCCCAAGAUUCACCUUUUACACGCAUAUCCCACAUUAUUUUCUCCAAUUGUUUACACAUUACUUGUUCCCCAGCACUAUAAAUUGCUUUUAAAAUAGAUUUCAUUCUUAUCAAGGCUAAAUCAGCCCAUGGUUGGUAGAGGAAGAUAGUUCCAUAAGGCUAGUUGUAUGUGUGUUUGAAGUCCCUCCCCAUAUCCUAGUUUGAGCAACCACCUCCUAAUUAUCACAGAAUUACAAGCUUAAUUUGCAAUUCUCUGCUUCUCUUACUGUUUUUUUAAAAAGAUUUAUUUAUCUAUUUGAAAGGCAGAAUUACAGAGAGGCAGAGAGAGAGGUCUUCCAUCCACUGGUUCACUCCCCAGAUGACUGCACCCAUCUGAAGCCAGGAGCCAGGAGCUUCUGCCAGGACUCCCACACAGGUGCAGGGGCCCAAAGACUUGCUUUCCCAGGCCAUAGCAGAGAGCUGGAUUGGAAGUAGAGCAGCCAGGACUCAAACCGGCGCCCAUAUGGGAUGCUGGCACUGCAGGUGGUGGCUUUACCCGCUACACCACAGCGCCAGUCCCUGUUUUCUUACUUUUGAGAAUACCUAUUGAGUAGCAUACAAGGGAAAGAAAGACCAAAUCUCUUUCCAAAGCACCCACACAGCAUCUCCUCCAAAUCCCCUGGGGGAAAUACCCACUUUCUGCUUUCUGUCCCCUCCCACAUGCAUCCUUUCAAAAUGAUUAUAAUUUUAGUGGGAUCAAUAUUGUUUUUAAUGAUCAAAGACUUACGGUCCAGAGUAUUUAUUUAUUUAUCAAAGAAACUAUUCCUUAGUCCACAUAUUUGAUGUUUCAUAGUUCAGGGACAUAGAUCAGUGACAAACUUCUAGAGAAUUCAAACCAAAGAAAUUCUUGACAUACUACAUCACUUUGCACUCCUCAAAAUCUUCCGUGGAAUCAUAAUUUCUGCGAGAAUCUGCAGAUGCUUUCUUUCUUGGUUCAGCCACAGCAGACUUCUAGGCAGCUGCAGCACUCAAGGAUUUGGCAAAGACUCCAACACAGUGAACCCACAGACGUCUGGCCAGAGGGGCCCGCAUCUGAGGCUUUGCCAACGCACUGCUUGCCGUGGUGGUUGUUAUCCUCAACACCAGUGUCCUUCCUGGUUGCUGGAGAAAUGGUGGGAUCAAUAUUUAAUGUGUGUAUACUUUGUCACCAUGUAUUCCAUGGUGGCUUUUUCCUUUACUGGGCAUCUUUUAUGUUUCCUAGGAUUAAUGAAAUUUUUGUUGCUUCCUUCAGUUUCCUAUAUUCUCACUACCAAUUACCCUAUACUGUAUUAGUUUAUUAUUGUUACUGUAACAACAAGUUACUGAAAAUUGGGUGGCUUAGACCAUUUAUGACCUUAUAGUUCUGUAGGUAAGAAAAAUAAGUACAUGGGGCAGGCAGUUGGCCUAGUGAUUAAGACACUGCUUGGAAUGCUUGUAUCCCACAUCAGAGUGCCUGGGUUUGAGUCCUGUCUCUGCUUCCAGUUCCAGCUUCCCAUUAAUGCAUGCUCUGGGAGGCAGCUGGUGAUGUAUCCCUGCCACCUACAAGAGUCCUGGAUUGGGGCCAGUGCUGUGGCAUAGUGGGUAAAGCUGCCACCUGCAGUGCUGGCAUCCCAUAUAGGUGCUGGUUCGAGUCUCGGGUCCUCCACUUCCAAUCUAGCUCUCUGUUAUGGCCUGGGAAAGCAGUGGAAGAUGGCCCAAGUCCUUGGGUCCCUGCACCCAUGUAGAGGACCUGGAGGAACCUCCUGACUUUUGGCUUCAGAUCAGAGCAGCUCUGGCCACUGGGGCUGGCUGGGAAGUGAACCAACAGAUGGAAGACAUCUCUCUCGCUCUCUCUCUGCCUCUCCUUUUCUCUCUGUAUAAUUCUGACUUUUGAAUAAAUAAAUAAAUCUUUUUUUAAAAAAAGUCUUAGAUUGAGUUCCAUGUUCUCCUGGCUUCAGCCUGACCUAGCCCUGGCUAUUACAGGCAUUUGGGGGAAUGAAACAAAUAAUGGGAUAUUGAUAUUCUCUCUCUCUCUCUCUUUCUCUUUCUCUUUCUUUCUUCCUCCCUCUCUCCUUUCCUCCUUCCCUCCCUCCCUCCCCCAUCCCUCCAUCCCCCCUUCAGAUAAAUAGUAAGUAAAUUAAAAAUUGAAAAAAUGGAAAGACUGAGUACAGAGUGAGUCAACUGGGAUCCUUUGCUUAGAGUCUCACGAGGCUUAAACCAAGGUGUCAGCUGGGCCACAUUGCUUUCUGGAAUUCCUGGAGCUGAAUCCACCUCCAAGCUACUAGAGCUGUAGCCUGAACUCUGUUUCUUUCAUUAUUUUUUAAAAAAUUUAUUUAUUAUUUAUUUGAAAUGUAGAGGCAGCUAUACAGAGAGAGGGAGAGGUCUCCUACUUGCUGGUUCAGUCCCCAAAUGGCGGCAACAGCCUAGGCUGGGGCAGGCUGAAACCAAGGGCAGAACUUAGUCCAGGUCUCCCACAUGGAUGGCAGGCACCCAGGUACUUGAGCCAUCAUCUGCUGCCUUCCAGAAUAUACAUUAGCAGGAAGUUGGAAUGAGAGGUGGAAGUGGGGCUUGAAUUGUGGCAUUCCAAUAUGGGAUGCAGGUGCCCCAAGUGCUGUCUUAACUGCUGAGCCAAUUCUGGUUCUUACAGCCUUUCCCAUGCUGCUUGUACUUUAUAGAGAAAAAAUCUGGCACUUUGAGUUUUGCUCAUGGGUGGGCAUUUGGCAUAGUGAUUAAGCUGUUGCUUGGGAUGCCCACAGCCCAUAUCAGAGUCACUGGGUUUGAGUCCUGAUUCUGCAUCCAACCCAGCUUCCUGCUAAUGCACACUCUGAGAGACAGCAGGUAAAGGCUUGAGGACUUGGAUCCCUGCCACCCACCUGGGAGACCUCGACCAAGUUCUGGGCUCCUGGCUUUGAUGUGGCCUGGCCUAGCCCUGGCUGUUGCAGGCAUUUGGAGGAGUGAACCAGUAAAUGUAGGAGCCCUCACUCUGUGUACCUUACAACUAACUAACUAACUAAAUAACAAAGAUAAGAGGGUUGAUGUUUGGGGUGAACGAGAAGUUAAAGUUGCACGGUAAUCCAUGACAUGUCAGUUCACGUGAGAUCGUUGAUGUUCAGCCCAUCCAAUGUUGGCUUUUCAUUUUAGUGGGAAAAGGGCUGAGCCCCUGACUCAGAGAGAUCUGUGGCUGUGGUUAGAAGCAGAGCUCCUGCGUCCCUGUGAUGAGGACCAGUUCACCUCUCCACGAGGACAAAUAACUGAGGGAAAAAGAAAAACAAACAAAACAGAGCUCCUACAGCUCUUGCUAACCUCACCUGAGAAGGGCAGGCUGUGUCCAGGAGAUCAGAAUUCUAGACUCGCUGAAUUCAGUCCUGGUCAUACAAUCACCUUGAUUCUCACAGAACUAAGGUCCUUGGAAAGGUCGGCAUCAUCAGUGUGGGGGAAGGAAGAGAUUCCGAAUCUGCAUUUCCAUUUCAUGAUAGCUGAACCAGAAAUAAGUUUCACAGUGUGGCUAGGCUCUGCCGAUUUCUACCUGCAGAGAAAGUGGCAAGACACUGUCAUGCGCCAGUACCUCCUCUUGCUUCGUAAAGUUCACAGAGCUCUCCGCCUCCAGUCUCCUCCUUUGGAGUGCCACCUGGGCAAAGAGAACCAUUAAUUUAUUGGGUGUUUGUGUGCGUAUUUUGAGAAUGAUAUUUUUUAGCAUUUAAUUUUAAAUAAGAAAGCACCUGCUGUAUUCAUUUUAAAUAAUGUAUUUUUACUACAUAGUGAUGUAGGAAUAUAUUUUCAGUGUAAGAAAAUGAAAAUAUUAAGGAUAAAAGGUGAUCACCAACCCCCAGCGCCGCUUCCCCUCCACGGGAGUAACUGCCGUUGCCGAACAGCGUGCACCAGUUAGUCAUGGCAGGUCAGGUUCUGCUGCAGUGACAAACAUCCUCAGAACCCCAGCGUCUUACAAUCACAAAAGCGUCUGGUUUGAUCAUCUCACGUUUUUGUCCUAGGGCAGCUUCCGUGAUGUCAGGACACAGCUUGAAAGAGCAGCUGGGAUGUACUGAUCUCAGGGCAGAGGGAAAAGAACAGUGGAGCCUCUCAAAGCCUCUGUUGGGGGGUCUCCCACGUCUCUCUGUCUCACACUCGCCUGGGCAAAGCAAGCCGUACAGCCGCGUGUGACUUCAGAGGGGUGGAGGUGGGGUAUUGUGCCUCCACAGGGAGCGGCCGUGAAGUUUCCCAUACUUCUAUGGAAUACGUAAAGCUAUAGAAAGAGAUAUCACUUCUGCAUAAUUUAUUAUGGCUCUGAAUCUUACUUUCUUCAUGCAAAAAAAUGUGCCUUAGAGGUCUUCCCACGUUAUACAAAUAAAUCCGUUUGAGUUUUAAGCCAUGGCAGAGCAUGCCGUAAAAUGGGAAGUACUAUCAUUUAUUUAGCUCUUUCUCUAGUUGAAGACAUUUAAGUCAUUUCCAGUUUGGUAUUAUUGCAGACAAGGGUGUAGCAAAUAUCCUCAUACUUGCCCUUUGUGCUUAUGUGCAGCCGAUUCUCUGGGGUGGGUACGGAGAAGUGGAAUAGCUGGAGAGAAGCUCUCCAGAGGAACCCUGCCAAUACUGCGCAAGGGCAGAGCACUGUUAGAAUCUGGAGGAGAAGUCACGGGUCCGGGCAGGAGGACGCGUGAAGUCAGCCUUGCAGGGAGGGAAAAGAGGGAGUAAAUGCCUUGAGCCUCUUCCCUGUGUCUCCUACUGGGCUGACCCCAACCAGACGACGGAAGGACCCUGUCCUGUCUGCCUCCCGGAGUGCAGAGGAGGCGGGAAAGCGCAGAGAACAAACCUGGAGGAGCAAAUAGCAGCCACCCAGCCACCCUCCCCCACCCAGCACAAGGAAGGACUGAACUGUUUGACGUUGUACUUGACUGUCUUUCCAGUUUGCACGACCCUAAUGGCUAGCGGAGCUGCACAUCUUUCCAUGUACUUCUAUGCACUUUGUAUCUCCUCUCCCCUACCUAGAUGUCGCCUCCCUGUUUUCUGAGUUGACUCUCUCUUGAUGAACUGGAUAGAAAUCUUUUGUAAAUCUUACCCCACAGUGUGUCACUUGUCUUUGCUUUGCCAAAAGGCUCUUGAAGUGUUGAGGCAAUAAUUUAAUCAGUCUUUGCCUGGAUGGCUUUUGUCUUAUGUCUUGUUUAAGGAAAGCUUUCCACUCCACAUGAUCAGUGUAUCCUGCUUGUUUUUUUUUUUUUCUGAUAGUUUUAUGACUUUUAUAGUUAGUUCUUUCAUCCACCUGGGAUUUAUAUUUGAAAAUGGUAUGGGGUAUGAGCAAAUUAGCUUGUUUUCCCAAAUGGAUAUCCAGUUGUCACAGGAGCAUUUCUGGAAUAAUUAAUCAUUUCCCCAUUAUUUGAAAUAACAUUUCAGUGUAUCUUUAUAAAUUCAUUGCUGGAUUCUUUUCUCACUGAUUGGUUUGUAAAUUCUAGUGCCAGAGCUAUUCUGUUUCUUUCUUUUUUUAAAGAUUUAUUUAUUUAUUUGAAAUUCAGAAUUACACAGAGAGAGGAGAGGCAGAGGGGGCGGGAGAAGGGAGAGAGAGAGAGAGAGGUCUUCCAUCUAAUGGUUCACUCCCCAAUUGGCCACAAUGGCAGGAGCUGUGCUGAUCUGAAGCCAGGAGCCAGGAACUUCUUCCGGUCUCCCAUGCGGGUACAAGGGCCCAAGGACUUGGGACAUCUUCUACUGCUUUCCCAGGCCAUAGCAAAGACCUAGAUUGGAAGUGGAGCAGCCAGGUCUCGAAACAGCGCCCAUAUGGGAUGCCAGUGCUUCAGGCCAGGGCGUUAACCCUCUGCGCCACAGUGCUGGCCCCACUAUUCUGUUUUAAUUACUGAAAAUCUACUCCGUGCUUUAAUAUCUGGUAAGGCAAGUUGUUCCUCUAUUUUUUUCAAUAGUAUCCUUUGCUAUACUUGCAUAACUAUUCUUCCAUGUGAAUUUUAAUUUUAAUUCCCAAGCAUUUGGGCCAUCUUCAUUGCCUUCACAGGUGCAUUAGCAGGGAGCCGCACUGGAAGCAGAGCAGCCAGAACUCAGACCAGCACUCAUAUGGGAUUCCAGCUUCGCAGGUGGCAGCUUGACCUGCUGGUCUUAGCGGCAGGCAUCCUAACCAGUGUCUUAAUCACCAGGCUGAACGCCUCCCUUUGUGAAUUUUAGAAUCAGCUGAUCAACUCCUUUGAACAAUUCUUGUGGCAUUUUAUUGGACUUCCAUUGAAUUUAUGUGUCUGCAUUAGGAGAAUUUCUUUCUUUCUUUUCUUUCUUUCUUUCUUUUUCUUUUUCUUUUUUUUUAGGAGAAUUGAUUCCUUUUGGGUAUUGUGUCUUUCCCAUCCAGGAAGGUGAUAUAUACCUCUAUUUGUCUCACAGUAGAGUUACAACUUUCUUUAUAAAGUUCAAUUCUAUCAUGAGUUCAGUGGUGACUGCUUGCCUUGCAUGGGUUUGAAGAUUUGUGUUGCAUGCUCCUGAUCUCUCUCCCCACCAUGUGAGGACACACAAGCCGGGAGGAGAGCCCUCAUCAGAACUGACCGGCCUGGCACCCUGCUCUCGCACUUCCAGCCUUCAGAACUAUAUGAUUGACAGAACUUGGCAAUGAACUUCCUGCAUGCAAGUCCCCAUCUCGGGAGUUUGAUUCCUGGGAAACCCAGCCCACAACAGGCUCUGAAGUCAAACAGAACUGGGUUUGAGUCUCGCUCCAAACACUGACUAGAUGUGGUGCUGGGAAGGUGCCUUUAGGCUCCCGCAGAGUGCAAAGAGGUGUCCAGGGGGCUGGUGUCUGGAACAAAGUGCUUGUCAGGGCUCCACGUGCAUGAGGAAUGCAGAUACUCAUCACCAACCCCGUGUGCCACAUCUGAAAUGUCACAAUUCUAAAAGCUAGAGGAGGAUCCGCGACCCAGCUCUGAAUAACGGAACAGAAGUAGAACUCUGCACGGGGAUGCUGGGAAUCUCUGUCUUCCUCAUACAAGAGGAGGAGGAACUCAGCCGGUACAUGCCACCUUCUCUUUGCCCGUGCUUUCAUUCCUUCCUGGAAUUAGGUGAGAUUUCUGGAAGAAGGGCAGCUAUCUUGUGACUAUGAGGACAAAAGCCUCCUGCUAAGGGUGGCAAAGCUUCAGUCUUUAGGGAUUUCUUUGAGACUUGGCGCCAGCCUCAGCUGCCUCCCUCUGGACUGCCUGUUAAGUGAAAUAAAUACAAUGUUAUAAGUUCUCUAAGAACAGUCUUUCUUUUGUCUUGUACCGAUGGCAUGUGGCCCUAAUAAGCGUCUACGGUGACCCAAAAGCAGACCUGGGAGGAGGGAUCAGCCAUGGCUGUGGUUCGGGACCUGCUGAGCCAUCCUUUCCUCCCAUCCAAGCUCUGAACGAGAAUCCCUUGGUUAUCACUCUCCCUGGCCUGCCAGACUCGGGAGCCUGCGAUGCUCAGAUAUCGUUCAGGCUCCUUCACUGUUUCUGCCUGUCUAGCAACGCCACACAGAAUGGGGACGCUCUUGCACAGAGCUGGGGUCUCAAGACGGGGCUACAAGCUGGGGAUGCUGGCACAGCCUGGUUCAAGUCAGCAAGACCUCCUUCCUCUGACGCUUUCUACUCCUGGUCAGCAGAUGACUAAACCGACUUGAGAUGCAAAGCAGGGCUAGGCAUGGGCCCGGUUAUUUGGCUGCAUGCAAAAGACGUGGACAUAACUGGGGGUGGGGAGAAUCAGAUUAUUGGAAUAAUAUGGGAUGACUUACAGAAUCAUAGACAAAAACCAACUUGGACACAAAAGAAGCCAUGGUUCCAGGAGGUUGCCUUGGAGUGAUGCCGUGUGGGUCCCGAGCUCAGUUCCAAGUUCACAGGAGGCGGGAUGCCAUGACUGGCAGUCUUUCCAGAUGGGGGAGAAGAGUGGCUUCCCGCCAGCAAUCGCCAGUUCUAGUAGCAGAAGAACGGUAAGAGGAUAUGGUGGUAAAAAUUUUAAAAAACCCGCUGUGGACUAAACAUAGAACUGGCCAUGGGUGUAAGUUUUAGGAUAAAGCUGACCUUAAUUAAAAUCUUAGCUCUACACUCUACUAUCUGUCCUUGGUCAGAUCAAUUGACCUCUUUAAGUGUCCGUUUCCUUGUCCGUGUGUGGUGAGAACAAAACGCGUUUAAACCUGCUAGAAUGUCGGCUCCAGGAGGACAGGAGUGUCAUGCUUUUUUGCCCCCUCUGAAUCCCUAGCACCUAGACCAGCGCAGGUCUGGCCACUGGCGCUGCAUCCGUAUGCACUGAACGACUGUUGCCCCACAGUGCCUCUUAGGUAGAGAGCUGUGCUGUGGAGAACGCGAUGUGGCAGGUACUCGGAGCAGAAGUGAGCAUCACUCCUGCCUCACUCUGGGGAGAGGAGAGGAGAGGAGAAGAGAAGGAAUCCAGGCAAGAGCCUGGCCCCUAGCUUUGCAGCAAACCGGGCCAUCCAGCAGCAAAGAGCAAACUGCGGCCACAGGCAAUGAGUGCAUUGUUAACAAAACAAAAAGCCAUGCGCGCAGUGGGACUUCCCUGGCGGAAUGGAUGUGUUUUGACUCAAUCGGGUUUUCAUCCACCGGUCCUGACAAGAUGAAACUCUAAGUCCUUUUACUCCUUGGGGCCAUUGCAGUCGUAAGAAGCAUUAAAGAAAAGGACAAACCUUGAAGAGACUGGGAUUUGGGGCCCACGACCUUUAGUUCCACCAGGGACAGCCUGCACAUUUAUCAAGUUCA